UCAGGUAAUAGGCUCUUCAAGCUCUUCAGGUAAUAGUCUAUUCAGGUAAUAGGCUCUUCAAGCUCUUCAGGUAAUAGUAUCUUCAGGUAAUAAUAUCUUUAGGUAAUAGGCUCUGAUAGGCUCUUCAGGCUCUUCAGGUCUGCCCUGUUCUUUGUAAAUAGUGAAGUCAGGAUAAUUGUAUAAUAAUUAAUAAUAGGCCUUUUUUUUCAGAGCACCCCUGAGGUGAAGGCUCUCUUUUCUGACCUUGGCUCUAAGGUCACAGCAUACGUCUCAGAGACCAGUAAGGUCUUACUUUUUCAGGCAAGACAUCGAACGAGAUUAUUGACACAUUAUCAACAAAGGGUAAGAAACAAGAAAGUAAUGUUUAUUUACAGUUAUGUUCUCAAAAUGUACCAAAUUAUUCA
rnacentral:lncRNA from 1 species